rnacentral:rRNA from 1 species
GACGAACGCUGGCGGCGUGCCUAAUACAUGCAAGUCGAGCGGAGUUAGAGAAGCUUGCUUCUCUAACUUAGCGGCGGACGGGUGAGUAACACGUGGGCAACCUACCUUGUAGAUUGGGAUAACUCCGGGAAACCGGGGCUAAUACCGAAUAAUCCAUUUUGCUUCAUGGCGAGAUGUUGAAAGACGGUUUCGGCUGUCACUACAAGAUGGGCCCGCGGCGCAUUAGCUAGUUGGUAGGGUAAUGGCCUACCAAGGCGACGAUGCGUAGCCGACCUGAGAGGGUGAUCGGCCACACUGGGACUGAGACACGGCCCAGACUCCUACGGGAGGCAGCAGUAGGGAAUCUUCCACAAUGGACGAAAGUCUGAUGGAGCAACGCCGCGUGAGUGAAGAAGGUUUUCGGAUCGUAAAACUCUGUUGUAAGGGAAGAACACGUACGAGAGUAACUGCUCGUACCUUGACGGUACCUUAUUAGAAAGCCACGGCUAACUACGUG